AUCUAGUUAGACAUUAUAAUAUAUGUAAAAUUUAAUAAACAUGAAAUUUAUUUUCAUGUCCAAUGAAUUUUGUUGUAAAAUGUAUGAUAAUGUAUUCUUUGUAUAAAUUUUGCUUGGUUAAUGUUCGUAAUGUGGUAAUGCGUGAAAUGAGAUGGGCCAUAAAAUAUGAUAGACGUAGUUUGUUAUAUAAAGCGGCUAAUUGUGUUUGUAAUAUAAAAAUUAAUAUAUUGUUUUGGCAUAACCUAUGCUUCGGAAACUAAUUAAAUCUUAGUGACACAAAUGAUAAUAUACCAUGUAAUUAUAAGUUUAGUUUCAAAACAUUUUCCUGUUUUAGUGGUAUUUAUACUUUUCAAAAAGAUAUAGUAAGAUUUUAUUAGAUUACGAUUUUAGAAAAAUCUGUAGAAUAUAUUUUUAUUUAUUUUAUUUUUAAAAUAUUUAAAUAUUUAGUUUAAUUUGUUAAAAUUAAUGAGUCUCUUAGGUUUUAUUAUUAGGAAAAUACAUGAUAUUUUAAUUAAAAGUUAUUUAAUUAAAGGUUAUUGACUUUUGAAGAAAUGGUCUAAAACAUUCUUAAACUCCAUUUGAUAGAGGUCAAAUGUUACUCACGUAGUAAAUAAUCUUUAUUACUGAUCAGGUUGUAUAAAAUUUUGAGUUUGUGUAUUGUUAAAAAUGUACCGUUAAUGACUUAUAUAUACAAAAUAAUGAGUUUAUGAAAGUAUUAAUAAGAAAGUAAUAAAAGGUAGAUAGUAAUAGGAAAUGUAUAUAAAAGGUAAGAAGUCAGAUAAUGAAAUUGAAAUUGCUUAUAAAUUAAAUAGCUAAAUAUUAGGACACAUAUUUUUCAAUGAAAAGUAAAAUUAUGUUUUGUUUAAUUUGAUAAAAAUGAAAAAUAUUUUUUUUAUUUAAAAAACAUUAAAUUAGUAAAAUCAACAUAUUAUAUGAAGAUUAUAUCAAUAAAAUAAAUUAUGCAUAUGUUAUUAAUUAAAUUAUAUAAUUUACAUAUAAUUAUAUUACUAUAUUUUAAUUGAUUGGUUUAUUCGGUUUGAUCGGUUUAUAUACCAAACAUUUUCAUAUGCCACGGCUUCUUAAGAAUAACAUUCAUUCGGUAUAUUCGGUAUUAUCAAAUCCAAAUCACUUUCAGUAUUUCGGUUUGGUUCAGUUUUUGUUGGUUUGCUUUUACCGGGUUGAACACCCAUAUUUGCAAUAUAUAUCAUUAAUGAUGUAAAAAAAAAUACAAAAAUACAUGAAUUAAAAAAUUUAAAUGAUGGAUCUUUUUUUAAACAUCUUAUUUAAAUGAUAGAUCAAAUAAAAAAAAUUACGCAUGUAAAAAGUUAUGAAUUCUGUUUUAAUGGUUGCAUUGUGUUAGUGUCUAAAGUAUAUUAUAAGUGACUUACUCUGUAUUGUUUGAAAUCAUAACACAUGAUUCAACUAUUUAAAAGAAACAAAAGUUAAACUUUUUUAUUUUAAGUUACUAUAUAUUGUUGAUUAUGAAUCUUAUUUAUCAUCAACGUUAGACCAGUAAUUUUCUAUGUAACAACCUAGAUAAAUAAUCAGAACAGAAUAAGCUCAAAUUAGUUUGAUAAUUUCAUGUUAUAGUUUGUUUUACGUUAGGUUUAGAGUUCAAUAAUAACUGCAGGGACUGCAAUUUUAUGAAGAAAGAUUAAUAGCUAUGCUAUGCUGGUAGUGGGCUGAUUAAUUGUCCAAGAACGUCGGAGCACUCGAUCCCUCACGUAAAGAAUCUAAACACUAACUGAUAAAUCAAAAUAAUUGUUUUGUUUAAUCUUGCUGGAAAAGGGGAAUUAAAUAUAUUGUUAGGAUUAGGUUAUGUAAAUACAAAAUAAUGUAAAUACUAUUCUAGGAGAAUGUACAUUUUAAAAUAUCACACAUGAAAAAAGUCAUGACUUUUGUUUUAAUACAUAAGAUGUAGUCAAUAAUUGUUUUUUAAACAAUGAACUAGAUUCUGACCCGCGCUUAAAAAGCGCGGGUAUUUUUUGGUUGACCGUAAAGCUAAAUAUUAUUUAAAUUAAAACUUACUAUUAUAUAUCUAUAAUAUUUAAAAGCUGUUAUAUUAUUAUUAUUUUCAUCUGCUCAGUCUUGUACAAUAUUUUCAUUGAAUUUUCAUAUCCGAGUCAGACUUGUAGUCGAACCGAUGGAUCUAUUUACCCGUAUAUAAGUGAGGGUAGGAUAUAAUAAAACGAACAUGGUAAAAAUACCUCACAAUAAUAUUAAUCUUUUUGAGACAAUGGUUUUAUUAGUAGAAAUCUAUAAUAUAAAAUAAAUGAUCUGUUUACAUUUAUUAUUUUUUUUCAAUUCUGUUUACAUGUAUUUAUGUAUUAAUUGGUGUUCAAAAUAUUGUAUUUUUUUAAAGAAGUAAUUGAAAGUGGGUCUGAAGUUAAAUAGGAUUAAAAUUGUUUUUAACUUAAAUGGGUUUAGUAGUAAAAAUUGAUUUGUUAAGUUAAGGGCCCAAGCCCAUCAAAAAAUUUGUACCUGCCGACAAGAAAGGAUUAAGAUCGUCUCUUGUUUUGACAGAUUGAAACUCUAAAAAAAAAAAAAUUCGGAGAUGGCGAUUCCCGUCCACUCGUUCCUCUCGGAUUUGAUCUGGUGUUGGGUCCAUGUGAUUUCCGAUGACUUCCGAGUACAAAUCGGUCAGAUUGUAAUACUGAAACAAUACCCGACAAACAUGUUCUUAUUUUUAUAUGCAUGGCAAAUAUGGAUCAAGUCUUUAUUUAGGUGAACAUUAUCAAACGUGAGAAGGAUAUAUUCUAAAAGAGCAGAUGAAUCACCAAACUAAAAAGUCAGAGCAGAUGAAUCACCAAUGUCAAAAGUCAGUGUAUUUACAAUCAAGAUUCAAACUCGUUUUAAAGAGCUGGAAAGGCAUUUAUAAUAUAGACCAUGAUGAUUCAAAGUCAAUAAUAAGGAGAUAAGUCGAACUUUUUAUAAUAUAUUCUUUUAGUAGUUGGGUCAAGUUGCUAACUUUUGAUGAAACAUCCUCUAUGUUGUUAUGCUUAUGGUUCUUAGUUUUGAUUGUAGGAUUUAAAAAACAUAAUCAUCGUAUAGUAAACUGACAUCAACAUCUAUUUGGAGAAGAUCAGAACGCGUAUACACUCCUAUUAUUAACUGAAAUUCAUUUUCAAAGGAUUUUUGGUUGUUCGAAAUGUACGGGGAGCAUUCGUCAAACUGAAGUUAUCAAUGUUGAUCCACUCUCCAACAGGAACUUUCGUAGCCAACUCAUCCAUGUAAGUCUUCUUACACGAUGCAUGAAUUUUUGUACCCUAAAAAUACCAUAGAUUCAAAAUUUACGUUGAUUAGAAUAUAGACAAAAAUCUUGAAAAUAACAAAAACAUAUAAAGAAUAACACACUUACAUGAGCAUCAGAAAGGACUAAUUCGAGUGAGUAACCAGCCAUUUUAGUCCAUUGUCUCCAUGAAUGCAGAACUUUGACUUGUACCCGAUAAGAUGUAAAACGUGGUUUGAUAUCGUUCAAGAAGGUAAUCUGCAUAUUGUUAACCAUGAUUUUCUGAAUCGUUUUUUCUUUUCUUGUGAGGAGUUUGAGUUUGAUUUUGAUAAAGAUGGAUGUUAAACGGUUGAGAGUAAGAUUGUAUUUAUAAUAUAGGAGGGGUUUAUAGUCGAUCAACCAUAAUUGAAUAUUUUGUAAUCAAAUUGGUUAUCUUAUUUUAAGGAAUAAAAUCUAAGCAAGCAUCAAUUAGUUAUUUUGGUUGAUAGAUUUUAGGUAAAUUGUGUAGUUAGCCGUAAUAAAUAAACUUGUAGAGGAAGGAAUUUAGAAUAUUGGUUAAGGUAAUUACGUGAUUGAGAAUAAUAGCAUUGAUUCUUAAUAAUGAUUAUUUAAACGUGAUAUUAAUCAAUAAUAUCCUGUGGAGGAAGGAAUUAAGAUUUUUGGUUUAGGUAAUUACGGGAUUGAGAAUAUAUACUAUUGAUUUUUUUUGUUUACAAAAUCACUAUUGAUUCUUAAACGUGAUCAAUAUUCAAAAAAAUCUUCGAAUAUAUACACUUAGCAUAUUUAUUUUUCUCUUCGUGAUCAUUUCGUAUCAAUGUAAAUAAAUGUUAGUUACCGUAUUUAUAGGAAUAAAAUCUAAGCUUUUAAAAUUUUUUGUUGUUGACAAUAAUAAAUAAACUUGUAGAGGAAGUAAUGAAGAUAUUUUGCUUUCACUUAGCAUAUUCGUUAGUUUUUCAGAGUUCACAUUUAUUUAGUUGUUAAUUCUUCUAUAGUUAUUUUGCUUUCUAAACUUAUGAUAAAUUGUCUACUCAAAUAUAAGCAAGAGAUAAAAGCAAGUCAUUUCUAUAGUUAUUUUGCUUCCUAAACUUAUGAUAAACUUGUAGAGGAAGUAUUGUAGUUGUUUUGCUUCCACUUAGUAUAUUCGUUUGUUAUUCAGAUUUCACAUUUAUUGAGUUGUGUUUCGUGCUUCAAACCGCAAUUUUAAUGCCCCUUUAUUAUUAAUAUAAAUUUAUGACAAAAUAAAAUCCCCCUUUGUGUUUCGUGAUAUUUUAUUGUUUCACAAAAUCAAAUUGUAAAUCUUCAUAAGAAAACAAAUGAAAAGUACAAAUGCAUUUUCCUCUCACGUACUAAUAAUAUAAUCUUCAUAAGAAAACAAAUGAAAAGUACAUUUAGAAUAUUCUUCAAAUCUCGAUGUUUGCUUCCCAGGUAAGAGAUAUUGGAUUCCAAACAAAAUUACAUUUGGCACAGCAAUCUGGAUUAUCAUUAUCUUCUACUUCAAUAAUAUCCUUGUUAUUUUCCAUCCAAACCAUAAACUUGUUGUUUUCUGAGGUUGUGGACAAAUCUUUUUGUUUUGUGGAGAGCUGAAACAUAUAAGAAAACCAUAAUAAGAGAUCUGAAUAUAUAAUGAAAGUAAACAUGUUAGCCGCGAUUUCUAAACACAUAGUCCCAUAGUUCAACCAUGUAAAAAUGUAAUACCUUAUCAUGAGGGGGAGAUGAGGAUUGCAAUGACUUAAAAAAACAGGAUAUGAACCACUUUAGCAUUUUUUGGUUUCCUUGGGUCUGAGCCUCGGGUUUUAUGUUUUUGAUAUUGGUGAUAUAUGUGAUGCUCUUGAGUUUGGUGAGAGGUGGGUUAUGUAGGAUAUGAGAUGGCGAUUUCUGGUUAGAUAAUAGUCUAUUUUAUUAAAAUGAAAUUUAAAGUAGAUGUCAACUUAGAAUAUUCUUUUCGAAUUAUUUGGGUUACAAAGGUCGUAGAUGCUGUUAUAAUAGAUAUGGUUAGACCAAAAAAUGGAAAAAGGAAAAGGUCCAAAAUGACUUUCAUAGGUAGAUUUAUUUAAACUCCUUCUCUUUUAAUAAUAUAGAUAUAUGAGCCUAAAUGAAGAUACUUAGGACUUUAACUAUUUGGACCAAAAUUGUGUGUUAGGAGCCCAAAUAAUAUUUUAUUAAAAGUACGAAACUCAAGCAUGAAGAUUUUUUUCAGGUAUUUUUCUAUUUUGAAAAUAUUUACAUAUCAUUCUAUUUCAACUUCUUCUUUUUUUUUUUGACAAAUUCUGUUUUAACUAAUAACAUGUU